CCUCUAGGAGUAGAUUGUUGACAUCUGCAUUGGUGAUAUUCCUAAAUUGGUACCCAACAGGCAAUCCGGCUAGACAGAACCUAUAAAGCUAUAUCUUAAGAAGGAGAGGAGAUCUGGGAACCAGAACAGUAUGAGAAUUCGUCAUUAACUUGGGGAAGACAGAAGAGGUAGGAAACUUGCGAAUGCUGUCUGGUGACUGAAUAAAAUGACUAAGAACCAAA